AUUCAUAUUUUUUUUUGCAUUUACUCAUGAGCAUAUUUAAUUUUUGCUACCUAUUUAUGUACUUUCUUAUUGCUAGUUGUUUACUGAUCUCUAGAAUGACAUUCAUCUGUAUCAUUUAGAUUGAUCUCGCUUUGGCCUCGUAUCAAUCAAUCAUGCCUCCUGAGCAGAGUAUAGACAACUAUACUGUCUGUCCUGAGAAUAAUGAUGUCUCUG
rnacentral:lncRNA from 1 species